GCUGAGGGGAUAUGACCAAAGACUAUAUCCAGUGCAGUCCAAAUUACACAAGGCAAAAUACAAAGACAAUGCCAAGAUGGGUAGAAAAGUUAGGAUAUAGGUUAGGAUGGAAGAUGUGACCUGUGAGAUUCAAUGUUGGCAGAGAAAUCAUCUGUGUCAAAUUCCACAAACCAGAAUUCACAAAGUUGCUGAGCCCACACAUGUAGGAUGAAAGAGAGUAAUGAAAACUAAUGACAGGAAACCAGCACCCUGACAAACAGAGUGGACCCCUGUGAAUUCCUUUUGUAGCAGACUCCAUUGGGUAACAACACUGGAGUGCAUUUUCUGCUUCCUCCAGUUUAAGUAAAUCCUACUUUUGUGCAGGUAACAAUGUGCCUGAUGCUGCAAAUGAAUCAUAACUGCUGUAGCCAAUCGCUGAGAUUCCAGUUCACCUUGCCAGUGAUUGAUGUAGAGAUUGGCCAAUGACAUCUAAGAAAACGACUGCAGUGACGAAUUCUGGGAAUUAUUUUCCUGCAGUAAAAUGCAAGACGUGUGAAGGAGAAACUCCUCUUCUCCUUCCUUCUGAUGAGAGUGCUGCCCUGUGAGAACGUGAUAUGGGGUAGAUGGCAGACAUCUUGGAAGAAGGAAAGAAAGGCCAACGGAAGCACAGGGAUUGCAAACCACUGCCCUGAUACCAAAAAGCCUCUGAAUCAACCCUGGAACUGGGAGGAUGAACCAGUAAUUCAGACUACAGGAAAAAAGCAGUAAGACAGUUCAGAAAAGCUUAAAAAUCUUGAAGUCUGUUCCAUGAAGGAAAGGGUCACAACGAAUGUCGGCACAGGUACUUGGAGGAAAGUGGGUAGAGAGGGCCAUACUGAGAUACUGCAUAAAACAAAUAUGCAUAAAAGAAACAGAAAACCUUGUCUCACUUUCUCGGUUUCAUGCACCUGGAUUCUGUUGUUUAUUUUACCCAAGUACUUCACAAACCUGAUGCCAACAGCAACUGUGAAAUGGAAGCAACUCUACAAAUUAUUGCCAUCAUGAGACUAUCAUUAGGUCUACAUAGCUCAAGCUUCACUUGGAGUUCAAUUGUGUGAUUCAGAAGCACAGCUAGGAUAAGUCAGAGACUGGAAAGGGGAAGAGGAGAGACGUGCAGGAUAUUUUUUUUUAACCAGUGAAACAACUCCCGACUUCCAGGACCAGACAAUAUACUUAAUGCACAAAACCAAUAUAUUUUAUGGCCUAAAUGAAAAAAAGUAAAGUGGAAGGUCGGGCGCUGUUCCUUUAAGAUGCUUCCAGAAUCAAAUACCACUCUUGAAAGGGCUGCCAAACAAUGUAUCCAGGUAAAGAAUGAAAAAAAUAUAUUCAGAGGAAAGGCAGGAGGAUGUGUGGAAAGCUCAGUGAGAUUAUGGAAGUGCAGUAAUUGAAUAUGACACAAGAGUCAAGUGCAAGAGGGAACUGGCUGGAGUGCAGUGGCGCAAUCUCAGCUCACUGAAACCUCCACCUCCCAGGUUCAAGUGAUUCUCCUGCCUCAGCCUCCCGAGUACCUGGGAUUCCAGGUGAGCGCCACCACACCCGGCUAAUUUUUGCAUUUGUAGCAGAGAUGGAGUUUUGCCAUGUUGGCCAGGCUGGUCUUGAACUCCUGACCUCAAAUGAUCCGCCCGCCUGGGCCUCCCAAACUGCUGGCAUUACAGGCGCAAGCCACUGCACCUGGCCUUAAUCACUUUUUGCUGAAAUAAAUUGCACACU
rnacentral:lncRNA from 1 species